AAGAGUUGCAAGUUGAUGCUUCCACUGCUUCACUCUGCAAAUCCCAACUUGGGUUAUCCUUCCAGGGUAAAGUUUGGAGAACCUUUUUGAGGUUUAUCAAGAGUUGCAUAUUGAUACUUUCACUGCUACAUGCCGCAAAUACAAGUAGUUAAACUAUACUACCUUGAUAAAGUUUGGAGAACCUAAACAAAGUUUACAGAAGGAAUAUUGACGGUCAGUUAUGGACUUACAAAAAUUCUACACUUUUUGAAAGAAUUGGAACUUCAGAGACUGGACAUUUUUUCCUGGAGAUAUUCAGAACUUUAAAACAUUCAUUAAAAGAUACUAUGCAAUGUUCUGAUUCUAUUGAUAUGUAAUUUGCCACAGUUUCAUCCUUAUAUUCGUGUGAAUAAUGUCAAACAAAUACAUGCUAAUUUGACUUAGACGGAACCUUAA